UCCACACACACACACACACUCUCACACACAGAGGACAGACGCAGUGAAGAGUUGAGGGGACUUGCUGUUGGUUGCUUUCCUCUGGACAAUGGCUCUUUUAUCCACCAGCCUCCCUGCUAAUCUGACCUCACUGGCUGAAGAUGGAGACAAGACAAAUUCUGAUAAUUGCUCACUUGAAUCCAACUGGACCUUCACUUAUGUCCCACCGUACAUCCUGUCCAUCUCUGUUCUGGGAAUUGUUUUCAACAUCUUUGUGCUGAUGGUCUUCAUCCUCCAUAAGAAGCCCUGCACCGUGGCUGAGAUCUACCUGAGCAACCUGGCUGCUGCCGACCUGUUCCUGGUCUCCUUCCUGCCCUUCUGGGCCGUCAACGCUUGGAAUAAGUUUGACUGGAUUUUUGGGCUUGCCAUGUGCAAAAUGGUCAACGUGAGCAUCCUGAUGAACGCCUACUGCAGCAUCUACUUCAUGGUUCUGAUUAGCAUCGAUCGUUAUUUGGCUCUGGUUCAUCCACUGUCCCAAGAAAAAAUGCGUCGUCCAAAAUUUGCCAAAAUCUGUUGUGUUGUGGUUUGGAUUCUGGGAUUAAUUCUUAGUGUUCCCAAAUUUAUCAACAGGAAAUUGGUACCUGACAGAAAUAGGACCGCCUGUAGUGAAGCUGAUCCAGAGAUAAAUGAGUCGAUGAUUUUGGUGUUAGGGUUUCUUAUUCCCAUUUCCAUCAUUUUCUUUUGCACUGUCAACAUCCUCAGAGCUCUGAGGAACAGGUUUAUGGAAGGAGUAAAUGCAAAGAAAAAUGAUCACAAGGCCAACACUUUGGUCCUGGCCGUCCUGCUGGCGUUCCUGAUCUGUUGGGUCCCGUUCCAUCUGCGGAACAUCCCAACCUGGCUCAACAAGGCCGGCAUGCUGACAGACUGCAGCUCUAUGAACAUCCAGCACUUCUGUGGGCAGAUCUUCACCUACUUGGCGUUCUUCAACAGCGUUCUCAAUCCCAUUCUCUACGUCAUUGUCGGAAGAAACUUCCGGAAAAAAGUUAAGGAACUUUUUCUGCAGUGGAACCACAAACGGAGUCCAACCAUGACUCUAAGAAGUUCAAGAACAAAACUAUCAAUAUUACAUCCCUCUUAGGUCUGACUUACUGUGCAUUCAGCUCAUUUCCUCCAUGAGACGUUUUUAAUUCAGGAGAUCAUGCAGACCAUCAGAGCUGUCUGAUAAUUAACCAGCAUCCCCACACAGGUUUCAUAAUCAUAGAAGUAAUGGACUGAAAUGAAGUUAAUGGAAGCAAUCAGUCAAAGCGAUGGAAGCAGGAUUUCUGUUGGAAAGCUUCUAAUGGUUGCUUUUCCAUGUGUGUUUAUGUUAUUAACUAUUUUGUGUAUUUGGAUGUUUGUUGUGACAUGAGUAACUUGUAUUACUGAACCCAUCCAUGUGACAUAUAGAAAUGCUCUGUGGGAUAUUGCUGCACGUCUCUCUGCAAAACCUUUCGUCUGUUAUGCAGAUAAAAGUGAGCGGCUUCCUGCAGCCAUGAACUUACAGGAUGCACAGGUUGCUCUGCAGAAUUAUAUUUCCCUUAACUUUGAUUUCUCUUGAUUCCCUGUCAUGGUGCUCUCUCUCUCUCUCUCUCUCUCUCUCUCUCUCUCUCUCUCUCUCUCUCUCUCUCUCUCUCUCUCUCUGUCUCUCUCUCUCUGUCUCUCUCUCUCUCUCUCUCUCUCUCUCACUCUGUCUCUCUCUGUCUCUCUCUCACUCUGUUUCUCUCUCUCUCUCUCUCUCUCUCUCUCUCUCUCUCUGUGGGCACUGAACCACUUCCUUCUACUGACAGAGCUUUGGUGGAAUAACCUUUAGGUAACAAAAUGGUCGGCAUUAACUGUUACAGAAAAACUGUUCUUGCAGUUUUCAGUGUAUUUACUGUUAUGUUUUAAAUGUCUCUUUGCUGAAGUCUGAAUGAAGAAUGUAAACUGAUCUUGUUUUGACUUUCAUCCACUGGUUAAUCCUUCUGUAAACAGUUUUCUCUGGUGAAACCAGAUGAUCACCAACAGAUGAUGUAAUGAGGCUCCGCCUCUUUUCAAUAUUUCUGUUUUUCUGUCUAAAGUGCAUUUUUUAUACUUCAUGCAUGUGUUUGAUAUAUAACAAGUUGUAAUCA